CGCGGUAAUUCCAGCUCCAAUAGCGUAUACUAAAGUGUUGCAGUUAAAAAGCUCGUAGUUGGAUUUCUGGCGGGGACGGCUGGUCGGUCUCGGAAGGGGCUGUACUGUUGUUGGUUCCCGUCAUCCUUGGGGAGAGCGGCUCUUACAUUAAGUUGUCGGCGUCGGGAUCCCUAUCUUUUACUGUGAAAAAAUUAGAGUGUUCAAAGCAGGCUUAGGCCCUGAAUACAUUAGCAUGGAAUAAUAAGAUACGACCUUGGUGGUCUAUUUUGUUGGUUUGCACGCCAAGGUAAUGAUUAAUAGGGAUAGUUGGGGGUAUUCGUAUUCAAUUGUCAGAGGUGAAAUUCUUGGAUUUAUGGAAGACGAACUACUGCGAAAGCAUUUACCAAGGAUGUUUUCAUUAAUCAAGAACGAAAGUUAGGGGAUCGAAGAUGAUUAGAUACCAUCGUAGUCUUAACCAUAAACUAUGCCGACUAGGGAUCGGUGGGUGCAUUUUUAGGCCUCAUCGGCACCUUAUGAGAAAUCAAAGUCUUUGGGUUCCGGGGGGAGUAUGGUCGCAAGGCUGAAACUUAAAGAAAUUGACGG
rnacentral:rRNA from 1 species